rnacentral:lncRNA from 1 species
GUCCGAAGUAGUGGGUGUGGGAAAGCUGGCAUUGCCCCCGUGGGGAUUUUCUUGCCUUCUCCAGACAUGACCUCCAGCGCAGACAUCCCGGUUGACAGCGCGGAGAUCGAUGAUAUCCUGACGUGGAUCAGCAACGGUGAGUUCAGGGGCUGCAGAGCAGGCGGGGAUGUCUGCUCCGAGUGGCUGUGGGAAAGCUGGCAUUGCCCCCUUGGGGAUUUCUUCCUUUUCCCAGAAGGGACACCCAGCUCAGGCAUUCCAGAUGACAGCAUGGAACUCGACGGUUUGCUCAGCUGGAUCGUUGAAGCGUCGAGUCCUCGGGAGGUCCCCCAGCAGGCGUUCCCAGCCGUCCCCAGCAGGCUCAGCACCUCUCCUUUCACCAGAGCCCUCCG